rnacentral:rRNA from 1 species
GUACACGCUGUGACUAGCAUAUCAAUAAGCGGAGGAAAAGAAACUAACAAGGAUUCCCCUAGUAACGGCGAGUGAAGCGGGAAGAGCUCAAAUUUGAAAUCUUAAAGGGUUUCCCUUUACGAAUUGUAGUUUAAAGAAGUGUUUUCUGUUGAGGUUUUGGUAAAAGUUCUUUGGAAUAGGACAUCAUAGAGGGUGAGAAUCCCGUAUUUGACCUUUACUUUCAACUUUGUGAUACACUUUCAAAGAGUCGGAUUGUUUGGGAAUGCAGUCCAAAAUGGGUGGUAAAUUUCAUCUAAAGCUAAAUAUUGGCGAGAGACCUGAUAGCGAACAAGUACCGUGAGGGAAAGAGGAAAAGAACUAUUGAAAAGAGAGUUAAACAGUACGUGAAAUUGUCAAAAGGGAAGCGUUUGACACCAGUGUUGUUUUUCUGAAAAUCAAUUAAAGAACUGUUUAUGCUAAGUUGUUUAGACUUUAUCAGCUAACUGUUUAGUUUUGAGCUUUUCUUUAAUGCACUUUUCAGUUAACAAGUCAACAUCAAUUUCUUUUGCUGUAAAAAAGCUUGAGGAAGGUGGCUUGAGAUUCGUCUUAAGUGUUUAUAGCCUCUUGCCUAUGCAGUCGGAGAGAUUGAGGUCUGCAGCGUAGAUCCUUCGGGGCUAAAUGCAUUUGUGCUAAGUUAUAGCAUUUUAUAGACAACUUGUUGACUAUGAUUUGUCUUGUAGCUUACUCGCUUAUGUUAUUUUACCUACGCUUAGGAUGUUGAGUCGUAGAGCACGCAG